GGUCGUUUCGAGAGGGUCGUCCUUUAAGUCGUCGUACGCCCACACACGGAGGGUUUGGGCGGGAAGGAGAGAGACAUGGGCGUUGCGUAGUGCUUCGUUCGCGUUCGAGUCUGGCGGGCGUUCGCUUCACCGACCGGUACUGUUGGUGAAUCCAAAAUUAUUCUUCGCUUCGUCUGGCUGUGGCAGAGCGAGUUCGUGAGAUCGACGUCAGCGAAUCGGCCACGCCCCCGCGCCCUCAACCCACCAAUGGGCGGCCUUUGUGACUGGACAAUGUUCCUCCUGCUGUCUGUCUUGAGCGGGAUGACCGCGGGGCUGCAGAUAACAGGUAUCCAGGUCCCCCCCACCGUCAUCAGCGGGGACCAAGUGCGCCUGACCUGUUCAUUCGAGUUCAACGGCGACAAACUCUACUCUCUCACCUGGUGGAAGGACGAACAGCUGUUUUUCAAGUACCUGCCGAUUAACAACAUGAAGACGGUGUACGAGACGCCGGGGAUUACC